rnacentral:miRNA from 1 species
UUAAAGAGGCUGUCAAGUCCGUUCUGCUCAUGCGCGUGUUUUGUUUACAUUUUUGUUUCAAACAAUAGAUAAUUUAAUUAAAAUUUGUUUGAAACAGAAAUGUAAACAAAACACGCGCAUGCGCAGAACGGACUUGACAGCCUCUUUAA